GAGUGCCCCGAGCGUUGUCCGGAUUUAUUGGGCGUAAAGCGUUCAAAGGCGGUUUAAUAAGUUUUUGGUUAAAUUUCCAAGCUUAACUUGGAAGCUGCCAAAAAUACUAUUAGACUAGAGGCUGGAAGAGGCAGACGGAAUUGCCGGUGUAGCAGUUAAAUGCGUUAAUAUCGGCAAGAACACCAAUAGCGAAGGCAGUCUGCUAGUACAGCCCUGACGCUAAAGAACGAAAGCGUGGGGAGCGAAUGGGAUUAGAUACCCCAGUAGUCCACGCCGUAAACGAUGGAUACUAGAUGUUGGGAGUUUCGACCCCUCUCAGCAUCGCAAGCUAACGCCUUAAGUAUCCCGCCUGGGAAGUACGGCCGCAAGGCUA
rnacentral:rRNA from 1 species